CUUGAGUUGAAUUGAAGCAAAGUUGAUGGUGAAUUUGAGCUUGAAGUGUUUGGCCAUGAUCAACAAUCCAAGACUCGACGAAGCGACUAUCGACAAGGCUUGAGGGGAACGGAUCGAGAUGUCUUCGUGUUUAUUUAAAGAUUAUGGAUAGCAAGUGGUGAGUACACUUUAAAUUACUCGUCAAUAUUCAUAAAGCCGCAUAUUUUAUUACGAAAGGCUAUAUGAAUAUUUAUAUAUUUGAAAUGUUUGUUUUUAAAAAUGUAUACGUAUGUGUGUUUCGAAAA